GACGAACGCUGGCGGCGUGCUUAACACAUGCAAGUCGAACGGGAUUUAGUAAACAGAAGCCUCGGUGGAAGAUUACUACUGAGAGUGGCGAACGGGUGAGUAACGCGUGAGCACCCUGCCUAUGACAGUGGGAUAGCCUCGGGAAACCGGGAUUAAUACCGCAUAAAAUCGUAGAAACACAUGUUUUAACGGUCAAAGAUUUAUCGGUCAUAGAUGGGCUCGCGUCUGAUUAGCUAGUUGGUGAGAUAACAGCCCACCAAGGCGACGAUCAGUAGCCGGUCUGAGAGGAUGAACGGCCACAUUGGAACUGAGACACGGUCCAAACUCCUACGGGAGGCAGCAGUGGGGAAUAUUGCACAAUGGGGGAAACCCUGAUGCAGCGACGCCGCGUGAACGAAGAAGGUAUUCGUAUCGUAAAGUUCUGUCCUAUGGGAAGAUAAUGACAGUACCAUAGAAGAAAGCUCCGGCUAAAUACGUG
rnacentral:rRNA from 1 species